GAUGAACGCUAGCGGCAGGCCUAAUACAUGCAAGCCGAACGGCAAGUCUUUUAGCAAUAGAAGACCUAGAGUGGCGUAAGGGUGCGUAACACGUAUGCAAUCUGCCCUCAACAGGAGGAUAGCUCCCCGAAAGGGGAAUUAAGCCUCCAUAGGAUCGUAAUGUGGCAUCACAUAGCGAUUAAACUACCAGGGGUUGAGGAUGAGCAUGCGCAUGAUUAGUUAGUUGGCGGGGUAACGGCCCACCAAGACGAUGAUCAUUAGGGGAACUGAGAGGUUGAUCCCCCACACUGGCACUGAGAUACGGGCCAGACUCCUACGGGAGGCAGCAGUAGGGAAUAUUGGACAAUGGGUGCAAGCCUGAUCCAGCCAUGCCGCGUGCAGGAAGACGGCC
rnacentral:rRNA from 1 species